rnacentral:rRNA from 1 species
UACUCCUACGGGAGGCAGCAGUGGGGAAUAUUGGACAAUGGGCGAAAGCCUGAUCCAGCCAUGCCGCGUGUGUGAAGAAGGUCUUCGGAUUGUAAAGCACUUUAAGUUGGGAGGAAGGGCAGUAAGUUAAUACCUUGCUGUUUUGACGUUACCAACAGAAUAAGCACCGGCUAACUUCGUGCCAGCAGCCGCGGUAAUACGAAGGGUGCAAGCGUUAAUCGGAAUUACUGGGCGUAAAGCGCGCGUAGGUGGUUCAGCAAGUUGGAUGUGAAAUCCCCGGGCUCAACCUGGGAACUGCAUCCAAAACUACUGAGCUAGAGUACGGUAGAGGGUGGUGGAAUUUCCUGUGUAGCGGUGAAAUGCGUAGAUAUAGGAAGGAACACCAGUGGCGAAGGCGACCACCUGGACUGAUACUGACACUGAGGUGCGAAAGCGUGGGGAGCAAACAGGAUUGGAUACCCUGGUAGUCCACGCCGUAAACGAUGUCGACUAGCCGUUGGGAUCCUUGAGAUCUUAGUGGCGCAGCUAACGCGAUAAGUCGACCGCCUGGGGAGUACGGCCGCAAGGUUAAAACUCAAAUGAAUUGACGGA